CAAACGACUCUCGGCAACGGAUAUCUUGGCUCACGCAUCGAUGAAGAACGUAGCAAAAUGCGAUACUUGGUGUGAAUUGCAGAAUCCCGUGAACCAUCGAGUUUUUGAACGCAAGUUGCGCCCGAAGCCAUUUGGUCGAGGGCACGUCUGCCUGGGCGUCACGC
rnacentral:rRNA from 1 species